CAGUAGCCGCGGGAAUACGUAGGGUGCGAGCGUUAAUCGGAAUUACUGGGCGUAAAGCGUGCGCAGGCGGUUCGUUAAGACAGAUGUGAAAUCCCCGGGCUUAACCUGGGAACUGCAUUUGUGACUGACGGGCUAGAGUAUGGCAGAGGGUGGUAGAAUUCCACGUGUAGCAGUGAAAUGCGUAGAGAUGUGGAGGAAUACCGAUGGCGAAGGCAGCCCCCUGGGCUAAUACUGACGCUCAUGCACGAAAGCGUGGGGAGCUAACAGGAUUAGAUACCCCCGUAGUCCCUGUCUCUUAUAC
rnacentral:rRNA from 1 species